rnacentral:other from 1 species
UGAUUCCUGCGAUGUUCGUAGCAUUUUUAUGUUUCGAACCUUAAAUUUUGUUUCGGGAUUCCGAUAUUUGAUUUGUGGACGUUAUGCCCGCGCUGCGGGAAAGCGGAAAUGAACGUGAGGAGACCCACCUGUCGAGCGCAGGUUAUGAAACAAACUAAUGUUACGGCAUACGCGGGAUUUUA